rnacentral:rRNA from 1 species
UACGUAGGGUGCAAGCGUUGUCCGGAAUUAUUGGGCGUAAAGGGCUCGUAGGCGGUUUGUCGCGUCGGGAGUGAAAACUCAGGGCUUAACCCUGAGCCUGCUUCCGAUACGGGCAGACUAGAGGUAUGCAGGGGAGAAUGGAAUUCCUGGUGUAGCGGUGAAAUGCGCAGAUAUCAGGAGGAACACCGGUGGCGAAGGCGGCUAUCUGGACAGAAACUGACGCUGAGGAGCGAAAGCGUGGGGAGCGAACAGG